rnacentral:rRNA from 1 species
AGAGUUUGAUCAUGGCUCAGGACGAACGCUGGCGGCGUGCUUCAUACAUGCAAGUCGAACGAUCUCGGGGCUUCGGCCCCAUAUGAGAGAGUGGCGAACGGGUGCGUAACACGUGAGAAACCAACCCCGGAGAUGGGGAUAACCCAGGGAAACCUGGGCUAAUACCCAAUACUCUGACGGCGCCGCAUGGCGCCAUCAGCAAAGGUUCCGGCGCUUCGGGACGGUCUCGCGGCCUAUCAGCUAGUUGGUGAGGUAGUGGCUCACCAAGGCAUCGACGGGUAGCUGGUCUGAGAGGACGAUCAGCCACACUGGGACUGAGACACGGCCCAGACUCCUACGGGGGGCAGCAGUAGGGAAUCUUGCGCAAUGGGCGAAAGCCUGACGCAGCAACGCCGCGUGGGGGAAGACGGCCUUCUGAGGUUGUAAACCCCUUCAGCAGGGA